GGCGAACGCUGGCGGCGUGCUUAACACAUGCAAGUCGAGCGGUAAGGCCCUUUCGGGGGUACACGAGCGGCGAACGGGUGAGUAACACGUGGGUGACCUGCCCUCAGCUCUGGGAUAAGCCUGGGAAACUGGGUCUAAUACCGGAUAUGACUCCAUGACGCAUGUCGUGGGGUGGAAAGCCUUGUGCGGCUGGGGAUGGGCCCGCGGCCUAUCAGCUUGUUGGUGGGGUGAUGGCCUACCAAGGCGACGACGGGUAGCCGGCCUGAGAGGGCGACCGGCCACACUGGGACUGAGACACGGCCCAGACUCCUACGGGAGGCAGCAGUGGGGAAUCUUGCGCAAUGGGCGAAAGCCUGACGCAGCGACGCCGCGUGAGGGAUGACGGCCU
rnacentral:rRNA from 1 species